GGGAAGGUGGCUCAGUGGUAGAGUGCUUGCCUCAUAUGCAUGAGGCCCUGGGUUUGAUUCCUCAGCGCCA
rnacentral:tRNA from 1 species